UACGUAGGGUGCAAGCGUUAAUCGGAAUUACUGGGCGUAAAGCGUGCGCAGGCGGUUAUGUAAGACAGAUGUGAAAUGCCCGGGCUUAACCUGGGAAUUGCAUUUGUGACUGCCCGGCUAGAGUGUGUCAGAGGGGGGUAGAAUUCCACGUGUAGCAGUGAAAUGCGUAGAGAUGUGGAGGAAUACCGAUGGCGAAGGCAGCCCCCUGGGAUAACACUGACGCUCAUGCACGAAAGCGUGGGGAGCAAACAGG
rnacentral:rRNA from 1 species